rnacentral:rRNA from 1 species
UACAGAGGGGGCAAGCGUUAUUCGGAAUUAUUGGGCGUAAAGGGCGCGUAGGCGGUUUGGCAAGUGGCUGGUGAAAUCCCUCGGCUUAACCGAGGAACUGCCGUCCAAACUGCUUCGCUUGAGACCGGGAGAGGUGAGUGGAAUUCCCAGUGUAGCGGUGAAAUGCGUAGAUAUUGGGAGGAACACCAGUGGCGAAGGCGGCUCACUGGACCGGUACUGACGCUGAUGCGCGAAAGCGUGGGGAGCAAACGGG